rnacentral:rRNA from 1 species
AAGACCAUGCGCUUUGGGAGCGGCCGAUGUCUGAUUAGCUAGUUGGUGGGGUAAAGGCCUACCAAGGCGACGAUCAGUAGUUGGUCUGAGAGGACGACCAGCCACACUGGGACUGAGACACGGCCCAGACUCCUACGGGAGGCAGCAGUGGGGAAUUUUGGACAAUGGGCGCAAGCCUGAUCCAGCAAUGCCGCGUGAGUGAAGAAGGCCUUCGGGUUGUAAAGCUCUUUCAGUCGAGAAGAAAAAGCUGCAGUGAAUAACUGUAGUUCAUGACGGUAUCGACAGAAGAAGCACCGGCUAACUACGUGCCAGCAGCCGCGGUAAUACGUAGGGUGCGAGCGUUAAUCGGAAUUACUGGGCGUAAAGGGUGCGCAGGCGGCUUUGUAAGUCAGAUGUGAAAUCCCCGGGCUUAACCUGGGAAUU